rnacentral:misc_RNA from 1 species
AAGAGACAUGCAUCGCAAGUUUUGCGAGCACCCACACAAGUUCGUCUGAUUGAAG